CAACUGGAGAGUUUGAUCCUGGCUCAGAUUGAACGCUGGCGGCGUGCUUAACACAUGCAAGUCGAGCGAGAAAGUUCUCUUCGGAGAAUGAGUAGAGCGGCGCACGGGUGAGUAACGCGUGGAUAAUCUACCCUGAAGAUCGGGAUAACAGUUGGAAACGACUGCUAAUACCGGAUAUCCUGCAUAUUUAGCUUUAUGUGGUAAAGGCGGCCUCUAUUUAUAAGCUGCCGCUUUGGGAUGAGUCCGCGUCUCAUUAGCUUGUUGGUGGGGUAAUGGCCUACCAAGGCUCUGAUGGGUAGCCGGCCUGAGAGGGUGUCCGGCCACACUGGGAUUGAGAUACGGCCCAGACUCCUUCGGGAGGCAGCAGUGGGGAAUAUUGCGCAAUGGGGGAAACCCUGACGCAGCGACGCCGCGUGCGGGAAGAAGGCCUUCGGGUCGUAAACCGCUGUCAGGAGGGAAGAAACUGUUAGGGUAUAAUACGCCCUUUCACUGACGGUACCUCCAAAGGAAGCACCGGCUAACUCCGUGCCAGCAGCCGCGGUAAUACGGAGGGUGCGAGCGUUAAUCGGAAUCACUGGGCGUAAAGCGCACGUAGGCGGCGCAUCAAGUCAGGCGUGAAAGCCCUCGGCUCAACCGGGGAAUUGCGUUUGAAACUGGUGCGCUGGAGUCUCGGAGAGGUUGGCGGAAUUCCAGGUGUAGGAGUGAAAUCCGUAGAUAUCUGGAGGAACACCGGUGGCGAAGGCGGCCAACUGGACGAGAACUGACGCUGAGGUGCGAAAGCGUGGGUAGCAAACAGGAUUAGAUACCCUGGUAGUCCACGCUGUAAACGAUGGAUAUUAGGUG
rnacentral:rRNA from 1 species